rnacentral:misc_RNA from 1 species
AAUUCUCAACCUUUCCAUUUUGUAAUGAAAAGGCUUGGAUUGUGGAGGCUUUGCGGGCUCUCGUAGUCAGCUCCUCUGAAAUGCAUUAGCGGAGACUUGUAGGCUUUCUCCUUGGUGUGAUAAUUAUCUACGCCUUGGUUGUUUACAUCAUUCUUUGCUCUCUAAUCGUCUUGUAAUGAGACAAUUAUCAAA